UACGGGGGGGGCAAGCGUUGUUCGGAAUUACUGGGCGUAAAGCGUGCGCAGGCGGUUUUGUAAGGCAGAUGUGAAAUCCCCGGGCUUAACCUGGGAAUGGCAUUUGGGACUGCAAGGCUCGAGUGCGGCAGAGGAGACUGGAAUUCCUGGUGUAGCAGUGAAAUGCGUAGAUAUCAGGAGGAACACCGAUGGCGAAGGCAGGUCUCUGGGCUGACACUGACGCUCAUGCACGAAAGCGUGGGGAGCAAACAGG
rnacentral:rRNA from 1 species